AUGAACGCUAGCGGCAGGCUUAAUACAUGCAAGACGAACGGUAAGUAGUGUAGCAAUACAUUGCCUAGAGUGUCGUACGGGUGCGUAACACGUAUGCAACCUACCUUUUACAGGAGUAUAGCUCGGUGAAAACCGAAUUAACCCUCCAUAACACAGCGCUGAGGCAUCUCAAAGCUGUUAAAACUGCGGUGGUAAAAGAUGGGCAUGCGUUUGAUUAGUUAGUUGGCAGUGUAACGGACUACCAAGACGAUGAUCAAUAGGGGACCUGAGAGGGUGAUCCCCCACACUGGCACUGAGAUACGGGCCAGACUCCUACGGGAGGCAGCAGUAGGGAAUAUUGGACAAUGGGUGAGAGCCUGAUCCAGCCAUGCCGCGUGCAGGAAGAAGGCGUUAUGCGUUGUAAACUGCUUUUGCCAGGGGAUAAAACGACUCUGCGGAGUUAAUUGAAGGUACCUGGUGAAUAAGCCACGGCUAACUACGU
rnacentral:rRNA from 1 species